AGAACGAGCGCUGGCGGCGUGCCUAAUACAUGCAAGUCGAACGAGAUCUUCGGGUCUAGUGGCGCACGGGUGCGUAACGCGUGGGAAUCUACCCUUGGGUUCGGAAUAACAGUUGGAAACGACUGCUAAUACCGGAUGAUGACGAAAGUCCAAAGAUUUAUCGCCCAAGGAUGAGCCCGCGUAGGAUUAGCUAGUUGGUGAGGUAAAGGCUACACCAAGGCUACGAUCCUUAGCUGGUCUGAGAGGAUGAUCAGCCACACUGGGACUGAGACACCGGCCCAGACCGUCCGUACGGGAGGCAGCGAGUAGGGAAUAGUUGGACAAGUGGGGGACAACCCGUGUACUCCAGACAAUCGACCGCGGUAGG
rnacentral:rRNA from 1 species